rnacentral:tRNA from 1 species
GGGCGAAAUCAUAAUGGUUUAGUGGUAUAAUACUCGCUUAGCAUGUGAGUGGUCCAGGGUUCGAUUCCCUGUUCGUCCA